rnacentral:rRNA from 1 species
AUUGAGCGCUGGCGGAAUGCUUUACACAUGCAAGUCGAACGAUGAAGUCUAGCUUGCUAGACGGAUUAGUGGCGAACGGGUGAGUAAUAUAUCGGAACGUAUCCAUUAAUGGGGGAUAACUAGUCGAAAGAUUGGCUAAUACCGCAUACGUCCUACGGGAGAAAGCUAGGGACCUUCGGGCCUGGCGUUAAUGGAGCGGCCGAUAUCUGAUUAGCUAGUUGGUGAGGUAAAGGCUCACCAAGGCGACGAUCAGUAGCUGGUCUGAGAGGACGACCAGCCACACUGGAACUGAGACACGGUCCAGACUCCUACGGGAGGCAGCAGUGGGGAAUUUUGGACAAUGGGCGCAAGCCUGAUCCAACCAUUCCGCGUGAGUGAAGAAGGCCUUCGGGUUGUAAAGCUCUUUCGCAAGGGAAGAAAACUUACCCUCUAACAUAGGGUGAGGAUGACGGUACCUUGAUAAGAAGCACCGGCUAACUACGUGCCAGCAGCCGCCGUAAUAC